rnacentral:lncRNA from 1 species
AAAAAAAUUAAAUAAAUAUAACCAAAUAUUCAUGUCUUUAUGGCAUUUAAGAUUGCAGAAUUAUAAUAAUAAUAAAGUUUAAACAAAAACGAAAAGACACAGUUUGAAUGAAAUAGUUGCCUAAAGCCAAGAAACCAAAAGUUCUCGUAAAAGAAAAUAUAAUAUAACACCAAACAAAGAAGACAACCAUCCAGAAUCAUUACUCACUUGUACUUGCAGCUGCAUCGAUGCCAGCUACAGUUUCCGAUGCAUCGGUGGCAACUACAGUUUCCAUUGCCUCGGUAGCAGCUACAAUUUCCUCUGCCUCAGUCCCAGCUAAAGUUUCCACUACCUCCAUCCCAGCUACAGUUUCAACUGCCUCCAUCCCAGCUACAAAUUCCAUUGCCUCGGUAGCAGCUACAGUUUCCACUGAUUCAGUCCCAGCUACAAUUUCCACUACCUCCAUCCCAGCUACAGUUUCUGUUGUAUCAGUCGCAGCUACAGUUUCUGUUGUAUCAGUCGCAGCUCCAGUUACCGCUGCAUUGGUGACAACUACAGUUUCUAC